rnacentral:rRNA from 1 species
CCUACGGGUGGCAGCAGUGGGGAAUAUUGCACAAUGGGGGAAACGCUGAUGCAGCGACGCCGCGUGAGUGAAGAAGUAAUUCGGUAUGUAAAGCUCUAUCUGCAGGGAAGAAAAUGACGGUACCUGAGUAAGAAGCCCCGGCUAACUACGUGCCAGCAGCCGCGGUAAUACGUAGGGGGCAAGCGUUAUCCGGAUUUACUGGGGGUAAAGGGAGCGUAGACGGCAGUGCAAGUCUGGAGUGAAAGGCGGGGGCGCAACCCCCGGAGUGCUCUGGAAACUGUACGGCUGGAGUGCAGGAGAGGUAAGUGGAAUUCCUAGUGUAGCGGUGAAAUGCGUAGAUAUUACGAGGAACACCAGUGGCGAAGGCAGCUUACUGGACUGUAACUGACGUUGAGGCUCGAAAGCGUGGGGAGCGAACAGGAUUAGAUACCCUAGUAGUC